UACGUAGGGGGCAAGCGUUAUCCGGAUUUACUGGGUGUAAAGGGAGCGUAGGUGGCAUGGUAAGUCAGAAGUGAAACCCCAGGGCUCAACCUUGGGAUUGCUUUUGAAACUAUCAGGCUAGAGUGCAGGAGGGGUAAGCGGAAUUCCUGGUGUAGCGGUGAAAUGCGUAGAUAUCAGGAAGAACACCGGUGGCGAAGGCGGCUUACUGGACUGUAACUGACACUGAGGCUCGAAAGCGUGGGGAGCAAAC
rnacentral:rRNA from 1 species